rnacentral:rRNA from 1 species
GAUGAACGCUAGCGACAGGCUUAACACAUGCAAGUCGAGGGGUAGAAGGCUUCGGCCUUUGAGACCGGCGCACGGGUGCGAAACGCGUAUACAAUCUACCUAUUACAGGGGGAUAGCCCAGAGAAAUUUGGAUUAAAUACCCCAUAGUAUUAUAGAGUGGCAUCAUUUAUAAUUAAAGUUGAGGCGGUAAUAGAUGAGUAUGCGUCCUAUUAGCUAGUUGGUGAGGUAACGGCUCACCAAGGACUACGAUAGGUAGGGUCCGUGAGAGGGAGGAUCCCCACCACUGGUACUGAGACACGGACCAGACUCCUAC